UCACCCAGCAGCCCCCAGCCCUGUCUACGUGUUGGACUUCCUCCCUCUCCAUCUUUUCUUAUCUCUAUCUCCUCUUUUAUCUCUCUAGAACCUGGUUGAAGUCUUGUGAGAGAGAGAGCUUGUGGAUUGGGAAUUUUUGUUGAUGGAGCUAAGAAGAGAAACUGUGGAGCUAAUAGGAAGCUUGUUGAGCUGAAGAAACCCUUGGGGAAACUCCAAAUCUAGGAUUGAGGGGGAAGCUGCAGAGUAGAAAUUUCGGGCUAUUGGAGCUAAGAAUAACCUGGUAUAAUACCUAAUAAAGGCUGGUUGAUCUUGGUCUGGUAGAGGGGCCGAGUAGAAGUUUCAGCUGAGGAAACUUGGAAAUUGGAGAAAUUAAGAAGUGAUUGUAGAAGUGUGAAGGGGCUGCCUUGUAGAUCUGGGCACCCAAAUUGGAAGAGACCUGGUGAAUCUCUUUGAUAUUUUGAAUUGAAAGGGGGGACUUGGUGGAGCUCCGAAUCUAGAUAAAGAUGAUAUUUCUUCCCUGGUUUGAGUCCUGUGAAUUGCUCUAAAGAAUGUAAGCAAUAAUUAUUUUAUGUGUAGGAGCUAGGAGAAAACGUUAGUGAGGAAGUAAGUGUGCAGAAUUUCAGCAUGGUGCAGAUUUUGAGGUUGAGCUGAAAUUGCUUCCUUAUUAGAGCUUCUUUGGUGUCCAAACUAAAAGAGGACCAAGUGGAACUUCAAGCUCAGGUUAGACGUGCUCGGAAGUUCGAAUUGACAUUCCGACGAUCUUACGAUGCGCUAUUUAAGAAACGCUUCGUUCUAGCUCUAUUUGCAUUGAGUCGCGAGAGCUAAUUGUUGAUGCAUUUCGAGACGUUGGUUCUAAUCUGUUGGCAACCCUACAGCUUGGUGGCCGUCGCUCCCCCCAGGCAGUGCACUCCGGAGUUGUCACACGAUGGGCUAACGUACUUGCCCAAGGACUAACGUACUUGUCCGGCAGACGGUCCCUCUGGUGGUUCGAGUCCCCCGAUUUAGAGGGAUUUUGGGUUGUGAGCUUGGAGUUAACAAGUGUUAACCAGUUUGAUUGGACCUAGCGGGUGAGUCGGCGAGGUCGGCAGCCGAACCAACUGGAAACUUUCGGUAGUUCUCACCCCACUAACCAUACAGGUUCCAGCUCGUGCGAGGUGAUCGAGGAUCGUGGUAUGGACAGCGUUCCAUAGAUAGUGGACAUCCAUUGAGUAUAGUUGUACCUUAUUUAUUUCAUUUGUUUAUAGUUGAUGAAAGCAAAUAUAAAUUAUUCAUUUGAGAGAUGGCAAUGUAUAUGUUGGAUGAAUGAAUGUAAUAAUUAUGUAAGCUUUGUAUUUGAUUUAAAGUAAUCAAGAUACAAUGUGCCAAUACUUUAGUUA